rnacentral:rRNA from 1 species
UACGAAGGGGGCUAGCGUUGCUCGGAAUCACUGGGCGUAAAGCGCACGUAGGCGGCUUUCUAAGUCAGGGGUGAAAUCCUGGAGCUCAACUCCAGAACUGCCUUUGAUACUGGAGAGCUUGAGUCCGGAAGAGGUGAGUGGAACUCCGAGUGUAGAGGUGAAAUUCGUAGAUAUUCGGAAGAACACCGGUGGCGAAGGCGGCAUCCUGGACCGAGAUUGACGCUGAGGCGCGAAAGCCAGGGGAGCAAACGGG